CAACCCCAUAACUCCGCGUCCUCUUUCGCGGCCAAUCUUUGUGAGAGACAGAGCGCGAGAGAGAGGGGCGCUCCGCCGAAACCCUCGUCUCGAUCUCGCGGCCCCGAUCGCCAAUACCCGAGGGUGGAAACCCCGAUCGCCUCGAUCUCGUCUCGUCCCCAAUGGCAGACGAUCUGGUGGAGGCGAAAAAGCCGGAUGGCUGCGACGCCGACGCGACGGUGAUCCAGAGGAGGAUCGAGUUCCACCCUGCCCGUAAAUUCUUCUCACCAUCGUCCAAUGGGGCUUUCUAUCUUGAAACCCUGAACCCCGAUUCGGAAACUCCCAGGCCCUCGGCGUGCAAUCGGGAUCCUCCCGCGGUUUCGGCGCCGUCACUGGGGAGGAGAUCGGAUGGUGUGGAGGCCUAUGAGCAUGAAAUGGACCCCGAGCUCAGCUCUAGGAUCAGGUUUCGUAAUAUUGGUGCUGGAUUGGCCAAUCUUGGCAACACUUGUUUUCUUAAUUCAGUCCUUCAAUGCCUGACAUACACUGAGCCUUUUGCUGCAUAUCUACAAAGUGGGAAACAUCAAAUUUCUUGUCAGAUAGCUGGAUUUUGUGCAAUGUGUGCCAUUCAGAACCACGUCAUGAUUGCCCUACAGUCAACUGGGAAGAUAUUGUCACCUUCUACUCUUGUCAAGAACUUACGUUGCAUAUCUCGCAAUUUUCGUAAUUCUAGACAAGAAGAUGCACAUGAGUACAUGGUUAGCUUGCUUGAGUCCAUGCACAAAUGCUGUUUACCAUCUGGAGUCCCUAGUGAGUCCCCUACUGCUUAUGAAAAAAGUUUGGUACACAAGAUAUUUGGUGGCCGACUGAGAAGUCAGGUUAAGUGCAUGCAAUGUUCCUAUUCUUCCAAUAAAUUUGAUCCGUUCCUGGAUUUGAGUCUCGAAAUAGCAAAGGUUGAUUCUUUAUGGAAAGCACUAAAACAUUUUACUGCUGUGGAACAAUUAGAUGGAGGGGAAAGACAGUACCAGUGUCAAAACUGCAAAGAGAAAGUUAGGGCCCUCAAACAGCUCACCAUUCACAAGGCCCCUUAUGUUCUCACUAUUCAUCUUAAACGUUUUGAUUCUUUGUUUCCUGGACAGAAGAUUGACACAAAAGUGGAUUUUGAUCUCACUCUUGAUUUAAAACCUUUCAUCAGUGAUCCACAUGAAGAUGAUUUGAAAUACACCCUUUAUGGAGUUUUGGUGCAUGCUGGCUGGAGUACCGAAUCUGGUCAUUAUUAUUGUUAUGUUUGUACCUCUAGUGGCAUGUGGCAUUCUCUUGAUGAUAACCAGGUUUACCAGGUUAGUGAGAAGACUGUCCUAGAGCAGAAGGCCUACAUGCUAUUUUAUGUCCGUGAUAGGAGUUCUAUAGUGAAGAAAUCAUCAGAGAUGAUUAAAAAAGAUUGUGUUUCUACUAAUCCUCCUGGGAAGAAAUUAAUUCCUCACUCAGCCUUAGUUAUAAAGGGAGCAGUUCUAAAUUGUUUGGUGGAUGGGAAACUAAGCACCUUGGAAUCUAGUUCUGCCAUACUUAAAAGUUAUCCUAUUACUGAUUGUCAUCCUGAUUCUGGAAUAGGUACUUCAUCAGAUUCCCAGUUACCUGGAGUAGCAUUUUUGCGAGAAAAUGACAACAACAUACAAAAUGAAAAUGUAGCUCCCCAGAGUGACAGCCAGUUGCUAGGGAGAGAAGCUGCAUUAUUGCGAGCAAAUAGUGAUAUUAUGUCAAAUGCAUUGCAGCAAGGGAAAAAAUCAGCGGAUGCAGCAUCUUCAAAAGAGUUCAUGAUGCCUGUUUCCCAGAUUAUUCAACAGAGGUUGAUUGAAGAUUCAAUCGAACCUGCACGGGACAAGGAUUUUGUUGUUAUGGUUACCCAUGUAAAUGAUGCCACUGUCACCUCUGAAAGUGAUCAAACUAACAGUGGAAAAUGUCUUCUUUCUAAUGAUUGGAACGAAGAGGUGAAGUCAGAUGUGCUCCUCUCUGUGCCAAAUAAUGCUUCCUGCUCAGACUCUUCUCCUCAGCAACAUCAUGAGAAGAUUCUCAAGCAAAUCAAUAUGCACGAGAAUGAUGAUGUUGCAAUUGCAAUUUAUCAGAAUAAUGAUGCACUUAGCAAAAAUGGAACAAGUAACGUACCUGCAGAUAAAAAUCCUCUCAAACUUUUAAACCAGUUGGGAUUCAUGCAGAUGGCAUCACAUGAUAAAACUUCCGUGGAACAUCAGAUUGGUAAUGAGAGCAAGAGGUGCUCAACUAACACACAGUGCAAUGGGGGAGACCUUAAACUGGAGGAAUCUGGAAUGACUAAUGUAUUAAAGGGAUGUUCAAGUGGUUUUGUUGAGAAGGAAGUUCUUGACAUAAUGAAAUCCCAAACAGGACUAAAGCCAAAAAAACAUGUAAAACAUUCACUAAAUGGAAUCUAUUUUGGCCGCAAACAACUGUUUCUUUCUUUGUUGAGUGCAGAUAAAAUCAGGAAAAGAAACAGAAGAAAAAAGCGGCUUUCAAUUAUGACAAGCUUGCAAAAAAAAGCUGUACCUGAUGAUGUUAGCGUGAAUGAUCAGGGCACAUCAACCUCUGAGAUUGUUAAAAAUGUUGUACUUUCUGAGUGUUCUGGUCGAAAGCAUUCUCGUGCUAGUUUCAAGAAAAACAUAAGUACCUGCAGUAUGAGGAAUGAUAGUUACUGUAACAGUGAAUCUUUGAAUAUAUCAACUGGAGGAAUUGGCGGGGACAAUGGUAAAGAUCGAACACAUGAUCAUCCUGAGCAAUCAAGAUGGUGUUCCAGCUCCACAGAUUAUCAGUGCAACUCAAGAGACACAAUUUUAGAUGACAAUGGGCUCCUUCAGCAUAAUAUUAUGAAACUACUCAUGAGGGGCUUGAACAAAAAAACUGUUGCCAGAUGGUAUCACCUGGAAUCACCAGAGUUCGAAGUACACGGACUUAAAAGUUCAAGAAGUAGCAGGAUUGAUUAUGUGGUGGAUGAAUGGAAUGAGGAGUACUGUCAAGGCAAGAGGAAGAAGGCAAAGAAGUCUAAAGAAUCAAAUGGUGGCCAAAACGAGUUCCAGGAGAUGACCAAUGUAAAACAACAAGAAAGAUCCAAAGUGAAGAAACAGAGGUUGCUGAGUAUUAUUCCGUUCAGGAUAUGAUGGCACAAAUGAAAUUGCUGUUCUCAUAGUUUUUGGUUUUCUUUUUUGCCAAACGAGAACCGAACCGAGGAGAUUAUGGUGCAGAACUUCGGAAAAUGGCUGUUCAUUGCAACUCACCUUAAGGUGAAGACAGCACUUCUGUGAUUUUGCAAUAAAUGAUAGCUUUCUAUGAGGGGGGUGUGCCUUGGUACGCCGGUAAGAUUGCUCUUUGGUACUUGGGAAAACAUGAUUUGAGUCAUAAAAAUAGUCUCGCUAUAUUUAAGUGUAAAGGUGCAUAUAUUGAUCCUUCCCAAACCUCA